rnacentral:rRNA from 1 species
CCUACGGGAGGCUGCAGUGGGGGAUAUUGCACAAUGGGGGGAACCCUGAUGCAGCGACGCCGCGUGGGUGAAGGAGUGCUUCGGCGUGGAAAACCCUAUCGGCAGGGAAGAAGCAAGACGGUACCUGACUGAGAAGCCCCGUCUAACUACGUGCCAGCAGCCGCGGUAAUCCGUAGGGAGCGAGCGUUAUCCGGAUUCACUGGGGGUAAAGGGAGCGUAGACGGCCAUGCAAGCCAGGGGUGAAAGCCCGCGGCCUAACCGCGGAACUGCAUUUGAAACUGUCAGUCUUGAGUACCGGAGAGGUCAUCGGAAUGCCUGGUGUAGCGGUGAAAUGCGUAGAUAUAAGGAAGAACACCAGUGGCGAAGGCGGAUGACCGGCCGGCAACUGACGGUGAGGCGCGAAAGCGUGGGGAGCGAACAGGAUUAGAUACCCGAGUAGUC